AGAAGAGUUCCCACAACAAGCUCCAACAUCUAGACGUACUGAUCGUGAGUCUUCACAACAUUGGAAUGUUGAUGCCAUAGACUCAGAAGGAGUUAUAAAGAAGAUUAAGAUAAAGGUUAGGGAAGUUAAUAACUUACCUAGUGGGGAACGCAUCGUUGUGGAGUUUGAUGACCAAGGCCAAGCAUUUGGACAAGCACAAGGCCUACUUGCUGGAUUUUGUGGAAUCUUAGCAACUGAUUGUAACUUGUUUCCAAUCAAUUUUGAAAGGUGGUCAGGGAAAACAGGCAUGCCUAAAUGUUACUUUGAUGAUUGUUAUUUAACAAUCUUAAAGCAAAAAUAUUGUUUUAGGACCAUUGAAGCUACUGCAAUACAAUAUUGUAAGCUUAGUAUUGGAAAGAAGUGGGCUGCCUUCAGGCAAAGUUUAUGGAAUGAGUUCAAUGAUCCUACCAAGACUAGAGAUGAAAUUAUAAGUAAUGUGCCAGUAGGUAUAGAUAAGGAUCAAUGGGCUCAUUUUGUUAAUUAUCGUAUGAAACCAUCGACAUUGGAGCUUUGUAGAAGGAAUAAAGAAAUUUGAGGCAAGCAAAAAAUUCCACAUACAGGUGGUUCUAAGUCCAAUGCAAGAAGAAGGCAUGAGAUGUUUUUGGAAACUGGUCAAAAUCCUAGUCAUGGAAAACUAUUUAUUGAAACUCAUAAGAGAAAGGAUGGAUCUUAUGUAAAUGAUGCAACAAAGACAAUAGGGGAACAAAUUGAAGUUGGUCUGACCCAAAGCACUACAGAUGAAUCUGAAAUUUCUCCUAAUGAUGUUGUUGGUAGAGUGUUUGGGCCAGAACACUCUAGGAGAGUGAGAUGCAUGGGUAUGGGGGCAGCUCCUACUAAUACAUUCCGUAAUACUAGACUUCGAAUUAGUGAUUUGAGCCUCUCUUCAUCCAAUAUUGCUUCAUCAUCAUCAUGUUCUAACCAGUGCAAACAAAAGUUCAAUCUUUUGGAAUCCCAACUACAAGGAACAUUGAAUGCCCUUAAGGCCUAUACAAUAAUGAAGGAAGGAAAAAUUCCUGAUGAA